rnacentral:rRNA from 1 species
GAUGAACGCUGGCGGCGUGCCUAAUACAUGCAAGUCGAGCGAACAGACGAGGAGCUUGCUCCUUUGACGUUAGCGGCGGACGGGUGAGUAACACGUGGAUAACCUACCUAUAAGACUGGGAUAACUUCGGGAAACCGGAGCUAAUACCGGAUAACAUGUUGAACCGCAUGGUUCAACAGUGAAAGACGGUCUUGCUGUCACUUAUAGAUGGAUCCGCGCCGCAUUAGCUAGUUGGUAAGGUAACGGCUUACCAAGGCAGCGAUGCGUAGCCGACCUGAGAGGGUGAUCGGCCACACUGGAACUGAGACACGGUCCAGACUCCUACGGGAGGCAGCAGUAGGGAAUCUUCCGCAAUGGGCGAAAGCCUGACGGAGCAACGCCGCGUGAGUGAAGAAGCUCUUCGGAUCGUAAAACUCUGUUAUUAGGGAAGAACAAAUGUGUAAGUAACUAUGCACGUCUUGACGGUACCUAAUCAGAAAGCCACGGCUAACUACGUG